AGCAAGUGGAGCUUGGUUACCAGGAGGAGGAGGAGGACCCAUUCAGCUGGACAGUAGCAGAGCACUGAGCUGCCAAGGGGCAGGGAUGCUGGUGAAUGGACAGGAAAGUCCCAGGGGCUGCAGGAUGUAAUCGAGGAUUGUAUGAAGAGGUGUGGAAGAUGGGUCAAACUGACUGUUUCCACACCAAGCUGCAAAAUGCUUCCACUUGUACAGGUCCUGUCAUGGUGGAAGAAUCAGAACCAGAACUAGUGCAUGGUGGAAGAACCAGAAUACUUUGCAGCUGUGCUGAGACGAUACACAAACCAGUGUAACUUAAGUUAAACCACAGCCAAUUGUAUCCAAAUACAUUUUCUACAUUUUGCGCCAAGUUCUACAGGAAAAAAGGAACAAGCCAGUCUGUCAUGCAAGUGCCAGCCAUGAAGUGUAUUGUGGGAAAUAUAGCUGCAUGCCAUGUUUAUACUCUUGCGCCAAGUUCAUCCAUUAUUUGAGUUUUACAAAGUGCACACAGAUACUUCUCUCAUUACUUGCUGUUUAAAAAACUCAGCAGCACACUGAAGUAUUAAAGUGAAAUUACAAUAAUACAGACCGGCAAAACAGUUUUAUUUGCUCUUGGAAAUAAAUUAAAACUCAUCAGGAAGUAAUACGUGGAUGAUUCCCCAUCCCCAGCUCAGCUCCAUGCAAUCAUCUAUAAGUUAACUGGAAAACCAGCAAGAUUACUUAUGUUGUUAAAAGUUAAAACAAAGGGUCCAACAUUGCGGGAAAACUCCUAGAAGAUAUACUCAUCGAGGUGCUCAAUGCUUCCAACAGCUAUUGCAAACAAAAUAUAGGGGUGCUAGAAUAAAUAAUGUAUUGUGAGAGUGUGGAGAGCCACACAACCAAACAAUAAACCCUGAAACCACUUCAAGCCAGGGGUAUAGCAGAACCUACAGCACUACUAGUUUCAAACACCUAUGAUGAGAGAUGAGUACUUAACAUCUUCCACAAUAAGAGCCCUACUUAACUUAGUUUGGUAUACUUAUU